GGCGCUAUAGCGCAAUGGUAGCGCGUGGUCCUCCUAAGUUAUCAUAUGAGAAAAUUAGACCAAGGUUGUGGGUUCGAGUCCCAUUAGCGUCG